AGAGUUUGAUCCUGGCUCAGAUUGAACGCUGGCGGAAUGCUUUACACAUGCAAGUCGAACGGCAGCACGGGGGCAACCCUGGUGGCGAGUGGCGAACGGGUGAGUAAUACAUCGGAACGUGCCCAGUCGUGGGGGAUAACGUAGCGAAAGCUACGCUAAUACCGCAUACGAACUCUGGUUGAAAGCGGGGGAUCGCAAGACCUCGCGCGAUUGGAGCGGCCGAUGGCAGAUUAGGUAGUUGGUGGGGUAAAGGCUCACCAAGCCGACGAUCUGUAGCUGGUCUGAGAGGACGACCAGCCACACUGGGACUGAGACACGGCCCAGACUCCUACGGGAGGCAGCAGUGGGGAAUUUUGGACAAUGGGCGCAAGCCUGAUCCAGCCAUUCCGCGUGCAGGAUGAAGGCCCUCGGGUUGUAAACUGCUUUUGGACGGAACGAAAAGGCCUUUUCUAAUACAGAGGGCUCAUGACGGUACCGUCAGAAUAAGCACCGGCUAACUACGUGCCAGCAGCCGCGGUAAUACGUAGGGUGCAAGCGUUAAUCGGAAUUACUGGGCGUAAAGCGUGCGCAGGCGGUUAUGUAAGACAGGUGUGAAAUCCCCGGGCUUAACCUGGGAACUGCAUUUGUGACUGCAUAGCUAGAGUACGGUAGAGGGGGAUGGAAUUCCGCGUAGCAGUGAAAUGCGUAGAUAUGCGGAGGAACACCGAUGGCGAAGGCAAUCCCCUGGACCUGUACUGACGCUCAUGCACGAAAGCGUGGGGAGCAAACAGGAUUAGAUACCCUAGUAGUCC
rnacentral:rRNA from 1 species